AUGAACAUAUUUUCACAAAUGCAUGUAAUUCAGUUAGGAAAUGUUUACUAUGCCCUUGAUUUAUCAGAAAGAAAACAUUUACUAAUUACAAGAACAAUUUAUCUUCCAAAGGACAGGUUCUCUACUGCAAGAAAUUUCAAUCUGUGAGAUCCUGAAGAAAAGCAAUUUGACUGAUUUUCUCUGUAUACAAUACGACAUGCCCCCCCAAAUUGAUGGAUCAUAAUACUUUUGAAUGAAAAGACUACUAUCAAAGAAUGACAGCAUUUAGAGACUCUACCAUGGUUACCCUCACAUGUUGCACUGAAGGUGACUUGCCUUGCUGGAGGUUUCCAAUAGGAACUGGAACGUGUUCUGCACAGCCUGACACGUUUCCAGCUCCGUCCGGCUGAAGGCUACUAAAUAAUCCUUCAGGUGAUCGUACACAUUUCCGUCAAGAGCCUGUAAAAGAGGAAUACACACA